ACUUAUUAUUAUUAUCAAUACAAAAAAUCUUCAAUUAUAGUUUCUUUAAAUUAAGGCUACCAUACAAUAGUGUACAAGUUUAUAUUUAUAAGGUGCUUCAAUGUUUGAUAAACUUCUCAAAAAAUACUUUUGAUGAAAGACAUAUUUAUAGACAACAAGCUCAUUGAUUGUCUUACCAUAUUAUGACUUCUUGACUAUCUUUGCACAAUAUGAGCUAAAUUAAAAUUACAAAUUAAGUGUAUCACCUUCAAUUUAAUUAAAAUACAUAUCCAAAAAAAAAGUAUUAAUGAACUUGGAUCCUUGGAAUUACAUUAAAGCCAAAAAUAGUAUGAUAAAAUUUGUACAAUACAUAGACAUCAACAAAAGAGACAAAGAAAAAAUGUAUCAAAAAGUACCAAAAAAGACCACACCAAAUU
rnacentral:lncRNA from 1 species